GCGAGUAUUACCUAUUUGCAUAGGUUCUGGUGGAGUAGGAUUAUAGGAGUCAGGGUUCUGAAAUGAGGGAGCGAGUCUUACAGGAAGUCUAGUAACUCUUUCCCAAGUGUUCUGCCUCUGUCUCAUGCGUUCAUCUAUUCUGGAAAUGAAGGAUACUAAAUCCUCUAAAUUUUCCGGAAGUUCUCUUGUGGCAAUUUCAUCUAGAAUUUCAUCAGACAAACCAUUCAAGAAAACAUCCAUAAAAGCUUGUUCG